rfam:Bacillus azotoformans LMG 9581 contig33, whole genome shotgun sequence.
CUUUGAAAAAGGCAAACCUGCUUGCAAAACAGGGACGCAAAGCCACAGAUCUAAGGCAUAACUUUGAUAGCUGGGCUACCAAA